UACAGAGGGUGCGAGCGUUAAUCGGAUUUACUGGGCGUAAAGGGCACGCAGGUGGCUUGGCAAGUCGGGUGUGAAAGCCCUGGGCUCAACCUGGGAAUUGCAUUCGAUACUGCCGAGCUAGAGUAUGGGAGAGGAAAGUGGAAUUCCCGGUGUAGCGGUGAAAUGCGUAGAUAUCGGGAGGAACAUCAGUGGCGAAGGCGGCUUUCUGGCCCAAUACUGACACUCAUGUGCGAAAGCGUGGGGAGCAAACAGG
rnacentral:misc_RNA from 1 species